GUGUAGGUGGCAGAGCGGUAAUGCGCUGGAUUGUGGGUCCAGUUUACGCGGGUUCAAUUCCCGUCCUACACC
rnacentral:tRNA from 1 species